UUAAGCGACUAAGCGUACACGGUGGAUGCCCUGGCAGUCAGAGGCGAUGAAGGACGUGCUAAUCUGCGAAAAGCGUCGGUAAGGUGAUAUGAACCGUUACAGCCGGCGAUGUCCGAAUGGGGAAACCCAGUGUGAUUUGUCACACUAUCGUUAACUGAAUACAUAGGUUAACGAGGCGAACCGGGGGAACUGAAACAUCUAAGUACCCCGAGGAAAAGAAAUCAACCGAGAUUCCCCCAGUAGCGGCGAGCGAACGGGGAGCAGCCCAGAGUCUGAAUCAGCUUGUGUGUUAGUGGAACGGUCUGGAAAGUCCGACGGUACAGGGUGAUAGUCCCGUACACCAAAAUGCACAGGUUGUGAACUCGAAGAGUAGGGCGGGACACGUGGUAUCCUGUCUGAAUAUGGGGGGACCAUCCUCCAAGGCUAAAUACUCCUGACUGACCGAUAGUGAACCAGUACCGUGAGGGAAAGGCGAAAAGAACCCCGGCGAGGGGAGUGAAAAAGAACCUGAAACCGUGUACGUACAAGCAGUGGGAGCACCUUCGUGGUGUGACUGCGUACCUUUUGUAUAAUGGGUCAGCGACUUAUAUUCUGUAGCAAGGUUAACCGUAUAGGGGAGCCGCAGGGAAACCGAGUCUUAACUGGGCGUUAAGUUGCAGGGUAUAGACCCGAAACCCGGUGAUCUAGCCAUGGGCAGGUUGAAGGUUGGGUAACACUAACUGGAGGACCGAACCGACUAAUGUUGAAAAAUUAGCGGAUGACUUGUGGCUGGGGGUGAAAGGCCAAUCAAACCGGGAGAUAGCUGGUUCUCCCCGAAAGCUAUUUAGGUAGCGCCUCGUGAANUCAUCUUCGGGGGUAGAGCACUGUUUCGGCUAGGGGGUCAUCCCGACUUACCAACCCGAUGCAAACUACGAAUACCGAAGAAUGUUAUCACGGGAGACACACGGCGGGUGCUAACGUCCGUCGUGAAGAGGGAAACAACCCAGACCGCCAGCUAAGGUCCCAAAGUCAUGGUUAAGUGGGAAACGAUGUGGGAAGGCACAGACAGCCAGGAUGUUGGCUUAGAAGCAGCCAUCAUUUAAAGAAAGCGUAAUAGCUCACUGGUCGAGUCGGCCUGCGCGGAAGAUGUAACGGGGCUAAACCAUGCACCGAAGCUGCGGCAGCGACACGAUGUGUUGUUGGGUAGGGGAGCGUUCUGUAAGCCUGCGAAGGUGACCUGUGAGGGUUGCUGGAGGUAUCAGAAGUGCGAAUGCUGACAUAAGUAACGAUAAAGCGGGUGAAAAGCCCGCUCGCCGGAAGACCAAGGGUUCCUGUCCAACGUUAAUCGGGGCAGGGUGAGUCGACCCCUAAGGCGAGGCCGAAAGGCGUAGUCGAUGGGAAACAGGUUAAUAUUCCUGUACUUGGUGUUACUGCGAAGGGGGGACGGAGAAGGCUAUGUUAGCCGGGCGACGGUUGUCCCGGUUUAAGCAUGUAGGCUGGUUAUCCAGGCAAAUCCGGAUAAUCAAGGCUGAGGUGUGAUGACGAGGCACUACGGUGCUGAAGUAACAAAUGCCCUGCUUCCAGGAAAAGCCUCUAAGCAUCAGGUAACAUCAAAUCGUACCCCAAACCGACACAGGUGGUCAGGUAGAGAAUACCAAGGCGCUUGAGAGAACUCGGGUGAAGGAACUAGGCAAAAUGGUGCCGUAACUUCGGGAGAAGGCACGCUGGUGUGUAGGUGAAGCCCCUGCGGGUGGAGCUGAGACCAGUCGAAGAUACCAGCUGGCUGCAACUGUUUAUUAAAAACACAGCACUGUGCAAACACGAAAGUGGACGUAUACGGUGUGACGCCUGCCCGGUGCCGGAAGGUUAAUUGAUGGGGUUAUCCGUAAGGAGAAGCUCUUGAUCGAAGCCCCGGUAAACGGCGGCCGUAACUAUAACGGUCCUAAGGUAGCGAAAUUCCUUGUCGGGUAAGUUCCGACCUGCACGAAUGGCGUAAUGAUGGCCAGGCUGUCUCCACCCGAGACUCAGUGAAAUUGAACUCGCUGUGAAGAUGCAGUGUACCCGCGGCAAGACGGAAAGACCCCGUGAACCUUUACUAUAGCUUGACACUGAACAUUGAGCCUUGAUGUGUAGGAUAGGUGGGAGGCUUUGAAGCGUGGACGCCAGUCUGCGUGGAGCCAACCUUGAAAUACCACCCUUUAAUGUUUGAUGUUCUAACGUUGGCCCCUNNNNNNNNNNNNNNNNCGGGGUUGCGGACAGUGUCUGGUGGGUAGUUUGACUGGGGCGGUCUCCUCCCAAAGCGUAACGGAGGAGCACGAAGGUUAGCUAAUCCUGGUCGGACAUCAGGAGGUUAGUGCAAUGGCAUAAGCUAGCUUGACUGCGAGCGUGACGGCGCGAGCAGGUGCGAAAGCAGGUCAUAGUGAUCCGGUGGUUCUGAAUGGAAGGGCCAUCGCUCAACGGAUAAAAGGUACUCCGGGGAUAACAGGCUGAUACCGCCCAAGAGUUCAUAUCGACGGCGGUGUUUGGCACCUCGAUGUCGGCUCAUCACAUCCUGGGGCUGAAGUAGGUCCCAAGGGUAUGGCUGUUCGCCAUUUAAAGUGGUACGCGAGCUGGGUUUAGAACGUCGUGAGACAGUUCGGUCCCUAUCUGCCGUGGGCGCUGGAGAAUUGAGGGGGGCUGCUCCUAGUACGAGAGGACCGGAGUGGACGCAUCACUGGUGUUCGGGUUGUCAUGCCAAUGGCACUGCCCGGUAGCUAAAUGCGGAAGAGAUAAGUGCUGAAAGCAUCUAAGCACGAAACUUGCCCCGAGAUGAGUUCUCCCUGAGACU
rnacentral:rRNA from 1 species